GGGGACGUGGCGCAACGGUAGCGCGUCUGAUUCCAGUUCUACUUGGAAUAUCCAGAAGGGUGUCUGUUCGAAUCAGGCCGUCCUCA
rnacentral:tRNA from 1 species